AGACGUCUACAUUAGAUACCCGCGUAGUCCCAGCCGUAAACUAUGCGCGUUAGGUGUAUCGGUGACCACGAGUCACCGAGGUGCCGAAGGGAAACCGUGAAACGUGCCGCCUGGGAAGUACGGUCGCAAGGCUGAAACUUAAAGGAAUUGGCGGGGAGCACCACAACGGGUGGAGCCUGCGGUUUAAUUGGACUCAACGCCGGGAAGCUCACCGGAUAAGACAGCGGAAUGAUUGCCGGGCUGAAGACCCUGCAUGACUAGCUG
rnacentral:rRNA from 1 species